CCCUCCUCUCCCCAAACCCCCCAAUCAUCCUGCAAACCCGCAGCCCUCAAAUCCCCCAAAUCCCCAACCUUUCGUCGCCUCCUACUGUCGUCGCUUCAACGAUUUCACUUCCGCCGCUUCAACAGCUCAGCUUCAACGUUGCUGCUUCCGCCGCUUCAACAGUUCCUCUUCAAUGUUGCCACUUUCGCCUCCACAUUUACCAUAUUAUAAGGCAUAUGCAAAGAGCGAACAGUUUCCACACUCUCCAUCACCUUGUCGCAAUAUGAUGAACAGGAAUUGGAUGCAAUUGGAUGAUAGACUUUGUGCAUUAGUAGAGCUCACCUGAGUUUCAGGAAAAUAUUCAAACUAUAGCAGCCCAAAGAGUUGAGGAGCAACCUUCUGAACCUGCUGAUGAAAAUCAGAUUUUUCUUGAAGUGAUGGGCAAAAAAAGGCAUGGUCAAGUUCGUGGAUAUGGUUUUGGUCGCACACCUUCUUCAUUCUCUAGCAAGCUUCCUUCUCAAUUACAAAUGGCUUCAACAAUUGAAACACUAAGACAAGAGAAUAAAGAGUUGAAAGAAAAACUAAGCACAGUAGAGCAAACCCAAGCAGAAACUCUUAGCUUGCUAAAAAGCUUCAUGGAAGAGGUUAGAUUAGGAAGGGUUAGUAAUGAAUGAUGAUGCUCUACUGAUUUGACAUGUUUUAGUUGAUGAAUAGUAUUCAACAUUCCAUAUUUUGUAGGUUUAUUGAUUUUGUAAA